rnacentral:RNase_P_RNA from 1 species
CAAGACAGCCAGACUAUCGCAGACCGCAAGGUAUGAGGAAAGUCCGAGCAUCACAAGGCAGAGUGCCGGCUAAUUACCGGUCAAGGCGACUUGAAGGAAAGUGCAACAGAAAUAGACCGCCUAUAGCAAUAUAGGUAAGGAUGGAAAGGCGGAGUAAGAGCCCACCGUCUUUGAGGUAACUUAAAGAGCCAUGUAAACCCCACUUGAUGCAAGAGAAACGCGACACUAAGGUAGCCUGCCAGUCGCAAAAAUCGCUUGAACGCAACGGUAACGUUGCGUCUAGACAGAUGAUAGUCCAAUACAGAACUCGGCUUAUAGACUGUCUUG